rfam:Oryza sativa Japonica Group DNA, chromosome 9, cultivar: Nipponbare, complete sequence.
AAUAUGUGUAACCAUGAGUUUCCGCGCCCAACUUUGAUCGUCAUCUUAUUUGAAAUUUUUUUUUAUAAUUAGUAUUUUUAUUGUUAUAAGAUGAUAAAACAUGAAUAGUACUUUACUCGUGACUUAUGCUUUUAAUUUUUUUCAAAAAAUUUUCAAAUAAGACGAAUGGUCAAAGUUUGACGCGGAAAACCAUGGCUGCACUUAUU